AUUGAACGCUGGCGGAAUGCUUUACACAUGCAAGUCGAACGGCAGCACGGGGGCAACCCUGGUGGCGAGUGGCGAACGGGUGAGUAAUACAUCGGAACGUGCCCAGUCGUGGGGGAUAACGUAGCGAAAGUUACGCUAAUACCGCAUACGAUCUACGGAUGAAAGCGGGGGACCGUAAGGCCUCGCGCGAUUGAAGCGGCCGAUGGCAGAUUAGGUGGGUGGGGAGGUGAAGGCACACCAAGCCGACGAUCUGUAGCUGGUCUGAGAGGACGACAAGCCACACGGGGACUGAGACACGGCCCAGACUCCUACGGGAGGCAGCAGUGGGGAAUUUUGGACAAUGGGAGCAAGCCUGAUCCAGCCAUUCCGCGUGCAGGACGAAGGCCUUCGGGUUGUAAACUGCUUUUGUACGGAACGAAAAGGCUCUGGUUAAUACCUGGGGCGCAUGACGGUACCGUAAGAAUAAGCACCGGCUAACUACGUGCCAGCAGCCGCCGUAA
rnacentral:rRNA from 1 species